rnacentral:rRNA from 1 species
GACGUAGGGCGCGAGCGUUGUCCGGAUUUAUUGGGCGUAAAGAGCUUGUAGGCGGUUUGUCGCGUCUGCUGUGAAAUUUCGGGGCUCAACCCCGAACUUGCAGUGGGUACGGGCAGACUAGAGUGUGGUAGGGGAGACUGGAAUUCCUGGUGUAGCGGUGAAAUGCGCAGAUAUCAGGAGGAACACCGAUGGCGAAGGCAGGUCUCUGGGCCAUAACUGACGCUGAGAAGCGAAAGCGUGGGGAGCGAACAGG